GGCGAUGAAGGACGUGCUAAUCUGCGAUAAGCGUCGGUAAGGUGAUAUGAACCGUUAUAACCGGCGAUUUCCGAAUGGGGAAACCCAGUGUGUUUCGACACACUAUCAUUAACUGAAUCCAUAGGUUAAUGAGGCGAACCGGGGGAACUGAAACAUCUAAGUACCCCGAGGAAAAGAAAUCAACCGAGAUUCCCCCAGUAGCGGCGAGCGAACGGGGAGCAGCCCAGAGCCUGAAUCAGUGUGUGUGUUAGUGGAAGCGUCUGGAAAGGCGCGCGAUACAGGGUGACAGCCCCGUACACAAAAAUGCACAUGCUGUGAGCUCGAUGAGUAGGGCGGGACACGUGGUAUCCUGUCUGAAUAUGGGGGGACCAUCCUCCAAGGCUAAAUACUCCUGACUGACCGAUAGUGAACCAGUACCGUGAGGGAAAGGCGAAAAGAACCCCGGCGAGGGGAGUGAAAAAGAACCUGAAACCGUGUACGUACAAGCAGUGGGAGCACGCUUAGGCGUGUGACUGCGUACCUUUUGUAUAAUGGGUCAGCGACUUAUAUUCUGUAGCAAGGUUAACCGAAUAGGGGAGCCGAAGGGAAACCGAGUCUUAACUGGGCGUUAAGUUGCAGGGUAUAGACCCGAAACCCGGUGAUCUAGCCAUGGGCAGGUUGAAGGUUGGGUAACACUAACUGGAGGACCGAACCGACUAAUGUUGAAAAAUUAGCGGAUGACUUGUGGCUGGGGGUGAAAGGCCAAUCAAACCGGGAGAUAGCUGGUUCUCCCCGAAAGCUAUUUAGGUAGCGCCUCGUGAAUUCAUCUCCGGGGGUAGAGCACUGUUUCGGCAAGGGGGUCAUCCCGACUUACCAACCCGAUGCAAACUGCGAAUACCGGAGAAUGUUAUCACGGGAGACACACGGCGGGUGCUAACGUCCGUCGUGAAGAGGGAAACAACCCAGACCGCCAGCUAAGGUCCCAAAGUCAUGGUUAAGUGGGAAACGAUGUGGGAAGGCCCAGACAGCCAGGAUGUUGGCUUAGAAGCAGCCAUCAUUUAAAGAAAGCGUAAUAGCUCACUGGUCGAGUCGGCCUGCGCGGAAGAUGUAACGGGGCUAAACCAUGCACCGAAGCUGCGGCAGCGACGCUGAUGCGUUGUUGGGUAGGGGAGCGUUCUGUAAGCCUGCGAAGGUGUGCUGUGAGGCAUGCUGGAGGUAUCAGAAGUGCGAAUGCUGACAUAAGUAACGAUAAAGCGGGUGAAAAGCCCGCUCGCCGGAAGACCAAGGGUUCCUGUCCAACGUUAAUCGGGGCAGGGUGAGUCGACCCCUAAGGCGAGGCCGAAAGGCGUAGUCGAUGGGAAACAGGUUAAUAUUCCUGUACUUGGUGUUACUGCGAAGGGGGGACGGAGAAGGCUAUGUUGGCCGGGCGACGGUUGUCCCGGUUUAAGCGUGUAGGCUGGUUUUCCAGGCAAAUCCGGAAAAUCAAGGCUGAGGCGUGAUGACGAGGCACUACGGUGCUGAAGCAACAAAUGCCCUGCUUCCAGGAAAAGCCUCUAAGCAUCAGGUAACAUCAAAUCGUACCCCAAACCGACACAGGUGGUCAGGUAGAGAAUACCAAGGCGCUUGAGAGAACUCGGGUGAAGGAACUAGGCAAAAUGGUGCCGUAACUUCGGGAGAAGGCACGCUGAUAUGUAGGUGAAGUCCCUCGCGGAUGGAGCUGAAAUCAGUCGAAGAUACCAGCUGGCUGCAACUGUUUAUUAAAAACACAGCACUGUGCAAACACGAAAGUGGACGUAUACGGUGUGACGCCUGCCCGGUGCCGGAAGGUUAAUUGAUGGGGUCAGCGCAAGCGAAGCUCUUGAUCGAAGCCCCGGUAAACGGCGGCCGUAACUAUAACGGUCCUAAGGUAGCGAAAUUCCUUGUCGGGUAAGUUCCGACCUGCACGAAUGGCGUAAUGAUGGCCAGGCUGUCUCCACCCGAGACUCAGUGAAAUUGAACUCGCUGUGAAGAUGCAGUGUACCCGCGGCAAGACGGAAAGACCCCGUGAACCUUUACUAUAGCUUGACACUGAACAUUGAGCCUUGAUGUGUAGGAUAGGUGGGAGGCUUUGAAGUGUGGACGCCAGUCUGCAUGGAGCCGACCUUGAAAUACCACCCUUUAAUGUUUGAUGUUCUAACGUUGACCCGUAAUCCGGGUUGCGGACAGUGUCUGGUGGGUAGUUUGACUGGGGCGGUCUCCUCCUAAAGAGUAACGGAGGAGCACGAAGGUUGGCUAAUCCUGGUCGGACAUCAGGAGGUUAGUGCAAUGGCAUAAGCCAGCUUGACUGCGAGCGUGACGGCGCGAGCAGGUGCGAAAGCAGGUCAUAGUGAUCCGGUGGUUCUGAAUGGAAGGGCCAUCGCUCAACGGAUAAAAGGUACUCCGGGGAUAACAGGCUGAUACCGCCCAAGAGUUCAUAUCGACGGCGGUGUUUGGCACCUCGAUGUCGGCUCAUCACAUCCUGGGGCUGAAGUAGGUCCCAAGGGUAUGGCUGUUCGCCAUUUAAAGUGGUACGCGAGCUGGGUUUAGAACGUCGUGAGACAGUUCGGUCCCUAUCUGCCGUGGGCGCUGGAGAACUGAGGGGGGCUGCUCCUAGUACGAGAGGACCGGAGUGGACGCAUCACUGGUGUUCGGGUUGUCAUGCCAAUGGCACUGCCCGGUAGCUAAAUGCGGAAGAGAUAAGUGCUGAAAGCAUCUAAGCACGAAACUUGCCCCGAGAUGAGUUCUCCCUGACUCCUUGAGAGUCCUGAAGGAACGUUGAAGACGACGACGUUGAUAGGCCGGGUGUGUAAGCGCAGCGAUGCGUUGAGCUAACCGGUACUAAUGAACCGUGAGGCUUAACC
rnacentral:rRNA from 1 species